UAUUUUCUUCGUUAGGUGAGGCUUCUGCAUAGACAAAUGCCACUGCCCGGAAAUGUCGAGAGACGCUAACGGGUUAACAGGUUCUACCGGCUUAAGGUUUAAUCUAAUGUGGCUGGGACUCAAUCCCUAGCUAUGUAUGUGCCAAAGCUUGCACGAGUGGAGAAGGUU
rfam:Desulfotomaculum ruminis DSM 2154, complete genome.